UGUUCGUCGGUGCGGCAAAAUCGGGUACCAACCCGCACCGAACCCACACGGACCCGAUGUUUCGGUCUCCAGCCCGGGUUGGAGCCCGGACCACUGUGGACCCAUGCGACGGAAGACCGGUCUGCCGGUUUACGGGUCCAGGCCGUGAAACCCACGGAGACCAGUAUAUAUCGAAACAACAACAAAGGGUGGCGGCGGCCGCUGAGACGGACGGCCUGUGGCGGCGGCCAGCAGCGACGGUCGGCGGCCAGCAGCGACGGCCGGCGGCCAGGACGAAGAUGCCGCGCGACUGCCUUGCUCGAGGCCUCGAGGUGGAGGCUGCGCUCGCUGCGGAGGCAACAUGGGAACUAAAGGAGGCUGUCGCAUCCAUGGCUGCUAGGUCAUUGGACAUGGAUGUGGAUUCGCCACCGCAUCUUCCCAUGGAGACCCUUGCUAAUCAGGUUAUACUGGAUGCUGAAGAACAUUCUUUGGAAGUACCUGCUAUUGCAAACGAAUACUGCUGCUGAAGGCCGGUGGUGUGAGAAAAAAAAUAUUAUUAGUUAGCUGGUGGUUAAAGAUUGCUGCUGAAAUGAUACGACUGAAAAACACAAGCAGAAGAGUAGUAUAGGGUCGAAACAGGCAGCCAGGCAGGCCCAUCCUUCUCUCUCCUCCUGUUUUGCUCUGCUUUUUUUUAUUGCUCUGCGCGCAGAUGGAGAGAAUCUUUUGCUAGAGAGAGGGUGGAAGGGAGAGAGAUGGGGAAUGCGCUGUGCGGGCUCGUUUGCUUGGUGCAAUGGAGAAUCUGCCUGUGCCUCAGACCCCCAACCGCAGGCGAGCAAAAUCAGACGCCUGGAGACGCUGCCCGGCCCAGUCAGCUUUCCCAGGGUCUGAUCCAAACAGACCCGCUCCUCCUGAUAUUUCCGCUGCUGUGCUGCGUUUGCCUCCCGUCCCGUCCGUAUUUCUAUAUUUAUUCCACUCAUUUCUGUAUUUAUGAAAAAAAUAUAAAAUUAAGAUGGAAAGCGGGAGGAGGUGUAUCCCACCCGUAUUUGCGGAAUUCUGUUUUUAGCCGGAAUAAUUCCGUAUUUUUUGUAUUUAUAAAAUUCGGGAAAAAAUAAAUAAGCA